ACCACUUCGGUGGUUAGCGGCGGACGGGUGAGCUAACACGUGGGCAACCUGCCUGUAAGACUGGGAUAACACCGGGAAACCGGCUGCUAAUACCGGAUAAUCCUUUUCCUCUCAUGAGGAAAAGCUGAAAGUCGGUUUCRGCUGACACUUACAGAUGGGCCCGCGGCGCAUUAKCUAGUUGGUGAGGUAACGGCUCACCAAGGCGACRAUGCGUAGCCSACCUGANAGGGUGAUCGGCCACACUGGGACUGASACACGGCCCARACUCCUACGGGAGGCAGCAGUAGGGAAUCUUCCACAAUGGACGAAAGUCUGAUGGAGCAACGCCKCGUGAGCGAUGAAGGCCUUCWGGUCGUAAAGCUCUGUUGUUAGGGAAGAACAAGUACCGGAGUAACUGCCGGUACCUUGACGGUACCUAACCAGAAAGCCACGGCUAACUACGUGCCARCAKCCGCGGUAAUACGUAGGUGGCAAGCGUUGUCCGGAAUUAUUGGGCGUAAAGCGCGCGCAGGCGGUCCUUUAAGUCUGAUGUGAAAGCCCACGGCUCAACCGUGGAGGGUCAUUGGAAACUGGGGGACUUGAKUGCAGAAKAGGAAAGCGRAAUUCCACGUGUAGCKSUGAAAUGCGUAGAGAUGUGGAGGAACACCAGUGGCRAAGGCGGCUUUCUGGUCUGUAACUGACGCUGAGGCKCRAAAKCRUGGGGAGCAAACAGGAUUAGAUACCCUGGUAGUCCACGCCGUAAACGAUGAGUGCUAAGUGUUAGGGGGUUUCCGC
rnacentral:rRNA from 1 species